UACGGAGGGUGCAAGCGUUGCUCGGAAUCACUGGGCUUAAAGGGCGCGUAGGCGGCUUGCCAAGUCAGUGGUGAAAUCCCGCAGCUUAACUGCGGAAGUGCCUUUGAUACUGGCGAGCUCGAGGGAGGUAGGGGUGUGUGGAACUUCUGGUGGAGCGGUGAAAUGCGUUGAUAUCAGAAGGAACGCCGGUGGCGAAAGCGACGUACUGGACCUCUUCUGACGCUGAGGCGCGAAAGCUAGGGGAGCAAACGGG
rnacentral:rRNA from 1 species